rnacentral:rRNA from 1 species
AUUGAACGCUGGCGGCAGGCCUAACACCUGCAAGUCGAGCGGAGUGGCGGACGGGUGAGUAAUGCCUAUGAAUCUGCCUGGUAGUGGGGGAUAACGUACAGAACAGGGCGCUAAUACCGCAUACUCUCAGCUGACACUAGGUCGGCUUAGCUAGUUGGUGGGGUAAGGGCAUACCAAGGCGACGAUCCGUAACUGGUCUGAGAGGAUGAUCAGUCACACUGGAACUGAGACACGGUCCAGACUCCGACGGUAGGCAGCAGGGGGGAAUAUUGGACAAUGGGCGAAAGCCUGAUCCAGCCAUGCCGCGUGUGGGAAGAAGGUCUUCGGAUUGUAAAGCACUUUAAGUUGGGAGGCGUUACCAACAGAAUAAGCACCGGCUAACUUCGUGCCAGCAGCCGCGGUAAUUC